rnacentral:rRNA from 1 species
AGUGAACGCUGGCGGUAGGCCUAACACAUGCAAGUCGAACGGAAGCACAGUAAGCGUUCGCCUUUAAGGGUGGCGACUGGCGGAUGGGUGAGGCAUACAUCGGAUUCUACUUUUUCGUGGGGGAUAUCGUAGGGCAACAUCUGAUAACAGCGCAUAUGAUCUACGGCUGAAAGCAGGAGAUCAUCGCACUUUGCGUGUCUCAUUGAGCCGAUGCCGGAUUAGCUAGUUGGCGGGGUAAAGGCCCACCAAGGCGACGAUCCGUAGCUGGUCUGAGAGGAUGAUCGGCCACACUGGAACUGAGACACGGCCCAGACUCCUACGGGAGGCAGCAGUAGGGAAUAUUGGACAAUGGGCGCAAGCCUGAUCCAGCCAUGCCGCGUGAGUGAAGAAGGCCUUCGGGUUGUAAAGCCCUUUUGUUGGGAAAGAAAAGCAGCAGAUUAAUACCCCGCUGUUCUGACGGUACCCAAAGAAUAAGCACCGGCUAACUUCGUG